rnacentral:rRNA from 1 species
UACGUAGGGGGCUAGCGUUGUCCGGAAUCAUUGGGCGUAAAGAGCGUGUAGGCGGCCAGGUAGGUCGGUUGUGAAAACUGGAGGCUCAACCUUCAGAGGUCGACCGAAACCAUCUGGCUAGAGUCCGGGAGAGGAGAGUGGAAUUCCUGGUGUAGCGGUGAAAUGCGCAGAUAUCAAGAAGAACACCCGUGGCGAAAGCGGCUCUCUGGAACGGUACUGACGCUGAGACGCGAAAGCGUGGGGAGCGAACAGG